rnacentral:lncRNA from 1 species
GUGCUUUUAUUAAUUAUUUCAUUUCUAAAAUCAAUAAAAAUGUCCUCACCCCUGUGGGGGUGGAGUUUUGUGGGCACCUUUCCAUUACUGCCCCCAAAGGCCUUGAAGUAAAAUCCACUUUUAUUUGAAGUAAAAUCCAUUUUUAUUUGAAGUCAGGCCUAAAAUGAUCUCGAGUUUCAUUCCCAGGUUGGGAAAAGGGAACAACCCCAGAGCUCCAGAGCUUGGGGGGCUCUGUCCCAGCACCAGCCCCAAAAAAAUGACCCAGGAAGCCGAGUUGGAAAAGUUCUCCACGUUUUAAUGGGGUUUGUACAACCAAAAAUCCCAAAUUAGUGCAGAGGGGAGGCUCCACUCACAGCCAGGGCUCAGCUGAGACAGAAUUCCCAAUCCUGGGUACAGCAGAAUCCCAAAUCCACCCCUGGUCCAGCCCCUCGUCCCCCCCAGGCCACAAAUCCCAGAGCUCGUGGAGUGGGAAUGGGAUAAAACCCACAAAUGUCCAUUAAAGGGUUAAAUCCUGCUGGAGUUCUGGGAUAACAACGGGAAAAAUGAGAAUUAUGGUCAGGGAGUGCUGUGGGUUUGGGAAAGGGGGGGAGGAGGGAUCUGAUCCUGCCCCACAUUCAAGGGGAAUUUUCCUGCCAGGCUCUGAGCGUUGGCACCUUCACCCCUGGGCACCAGGGAAGGACCCAGAGCUGUGGGGAUGGAGAAACCCCAGCAGAUCCUAAACCUGAUCCUAAACCUGAUCCCAAACAUUGCCCAGAGCUGGUGGGGAUGGAUAAGGGAUGGAGAAACCCCAGCAGAUCCCAAACCUGAUCCCAAACCUUCCCCAGAGCAGGUGAGGAUGGAUGAACCCCAGCAGAUCCUAAAUCAGAUCCCAAACCUGAUCCUAAACAUCCCCUAGGGCUGGUGGGGAUGGAUAAACCCCAGCAGAUCCCAAACCAGAUCCCAAACCCUCCCCAGAGCGGGUGGGGAUGGAUCAGGGAUGGAUAAAACCUCCCCAGAUCCCAAACCAGAUCCCAAACAUUGCCCAGAGCUGGGCACUGCAGGGAUUUUUAUUUCAGAGAGAAUUCCCUGCCUGGAGCUGCGAGAACAGGGAAAUGCCAGUGGGCAGUGAGGGAUGGAUCCGUUUUAUUAUCCCAAAUAAAGCAGGGAUGGAGCCAGGAAUCCCAAAUAAAACAGGACUGGGGUGGAGCCAGGAAUCCCAAAUAAACCAAAAAUGAACUCAGGAAUCCCAAAUAAAGCAGGACUGGGAUGGA